ensembl:lncRNA
UCGAGUGGUUUCAGGCCGGUCGCUCGAUAGAAAGAAAGGGCGCACAGACAUUCCCCGUGGCUCCCAGGGUGAAAGGUCUGUCUUGGUCCCUUUGGGGGCUGGGAUCAUCGCUGUGGCUUGCAAACCGAGGACGGGAAAAUAACUCAUGCCUGUGUGAGGCGGGGUCCAAGUGGAAGGAACGCUGAGGGCUAGGGAGCAAAAACGGACAGGAAAGAAGCAAGGCUUUCCUGUCCGAAUGAAGGAAUGACAGUGGGAAGAGCCAGCAAACAUCAAUAGCUGCAUCCUGAGAAACCUAUGUUCACAAAUACCGGAGUACACGGAGAGGUAUAAUUUAUAUAUAUUCAAAAAAAAAGAAAAAAAGAAAAAAAAGAGGCAGGAUGCUGUCGUGGGAGAAUGGGUCUGGAGCUGAGGGUUUGAACGGUGUGGCUCAGGGUAGGUGGGCCUCAGGGCUCUGGGCCCCUUUGAGAGGGCGAGGGCGAGGGCGAGGGCGAGGGCAAGAACCCCCUGGGAAGGGCCCAGCUUGCUAGGUCCCCACAGCUUGCUUCCUCCCGAAGCAACAUAUUGCCCAGGGCCAAUGCAGCCCAGGUGCUGCUGGGCCAGCCCGAGCGGGAACCCCGGGGCGGUGCUGUGCGCGCAGAUGUCCACAAGACGGCGCCAGAGGCCCUUCUGGCCGCAGGUGCAGCUCGGAGGCGGCAGGCACCCGCCCAGGAGUGGGGUGGAUGCUGCGUGGGGCCGAAGCCGGAGCCAGCAGCCAGAGGUUUGUGGUGGUUUUCCGGGCACCGGGGACUCUCUGCGCCCAGGUGCCUGACGUCCGGCCGAGGACAGCGAGGUGUCUCUUCCACACUCGUUGGGGGAGAGGCAGCCUGGUUGGGUGGCAGGGUGCUCAGCCUUGUUGAGGGAGUCGCUGGGUUUCUCCACGCCUUGGGCUCCUCCAGAGGCUGGAGCCGAGGGAGUUCCCUCGCGGCUGCCUGGCUCCAGAGUCUCUCACGUUCCCCGCUGAGGCUGUGGUCAGAACCGCGUGCGGCGAUCCCACCCUGGUCCGUCAACCUCCCACUGUCGCAGGUGACGCUGCAACAUACUGACACGGCCACAAGGUAUUGAAAAGAAUGAGCUCCCUUGCGAAAGAGCUCUCUGUGGACAGUCACACCCUCCUAUCGAGGAGCUCAGGCAAUUGACAGAGGAGGCCACGAGCAAGUCUCUCCUGACACAAUACCUCGGGCGGCAGAGGGUCUUCAGGACCUGCCUGGGGUAGGUCCGGCCGUGGUGUGGCUCCAGGGCCUGGGCAGACAGCAUCUGCGUGCCAAGCAUUGGUGCACACCCCUAAACGGGGGAGCCAAAACAGAAAUACAUAGAGAAAACUAAAAUCCUGAGCCUGCUAAUAUAGGCACAAAAGUGUCCACCAUAGGGAAUUCUGUCUGGUCCGAGGUCUCGUUGCUAAGAACUAUGGACAGCAUCGGCGGUGCCCGUUGGCCUAGUUUUCUCUCCAGGGCAGGAGUCUGGCCCAAGGCACCGUCUCGGGGCAACGCCGAGCCAGCCUCUUUGGGGGCUUCCUUGCUAUUGUUGGUUUUAGGUCCAUUCAAGCGGAUGGAUGGGCGAUCGAGGGGUACCUGGAGGUGCCUGGGGUUUGGCUCCCGUUCUCCUCCCUCUUGUUCCCAAUCCAAGGGACUAGAUGGAGGACCGUGGGCUCUCGGGCAGGCUGUGCUUGUUCCCCACGCCACGUGCAGCUGUUUGGAUCGGCGA